rnacentral:rRNA from 1 species
AACGAACGCUGGCGGCAUGCCUAACACAUGCAAGUCGAACGAAACCUUCGGGGCUAGUGGCGCACGGGUGCGUAACGCGUGGGAACCUGCCCUUAGGUUCGGAAUAACUCCCCGAAAGGGGUGCUAAUACCGGAUAAUGUCUUCGGGCCAAAGAUUUAUCGCCUUUGGAUGGGCCCGCGUUGGAUUAGCUAGUUGGUAGGGUAAAGGCCUACCAAGGCGACGAUCCAUAGCUGGUCUGAGAGGAUGAUCAGCCACACUGGGACUGAGACACGGCCCAGACUCCUACGGGAGGCAGCAGUGGGGAAUAUUGGACAAUGGGCGAAAGCCUGAUGCAGCAAUGCCGCGUGAAUGAUGAAGGCCUUAGGGUUGUAAAGCUCUUUUACCCGGGAUGAUAAUGACGGUACCGGGAGAAGAAGCCCCGGCUAACUCCGUG